rnacentral:rRNA from 1 species
AGCGAACGCUGGCGGCAGGCUUAACACAUGCAAGUCGAGCGGGCAUCCUUGUGGUGUCAGCGGCAGACGGGUGAGUAACGCGUGGGAACGUGCCCUUCGGUUCGGAAUAACUCAGGGAAACUUGAGCUAAUACCGGAUACGUGCGAGAGCAGAAAGGUUUAUCUGCCGAAGGAUCGGCCCGCGUCUGAUUAGCUAGUUGGUGAGGUUAUGGCUCACCAAGGCGACGAUCAGUAGCUGGUCUGAGAGGAUGAUCAGCCACACUGGGACUGAGACACGGCCCAGACUCCACGGGAGGCAGCAGUGGGGAAUAUUGGACAAUGGGGGCAACCCUGAUCCAGCCAUGCCGCGUGAGUGAUGACGGCCUUAGGGUUGUAAAGCUCUUUUCUUCGGGACGAUAAUGACGGUACCGGAGGAAUAAGCCCCGGCUAACUUCGUG